UCUAAACAUGCGCGCUCUCAUUUAAGCUAUCUCAGAUCACCUCACCUGAACUCCACAGUAGUCCACCGUGCCGGAAAUCUCCUCCGGCGGCGGUGGGUACCAGAAAUGAAAGUUUCAUAUAUCUUCAUGACUGUCUCCACCUCCCGAUCAUGAAUCCACCCUCUAAUUCCCCUAAUUUUUAGCCUAGGUCCAUAACCAGAACAAUGUCCUCAAGAACCCUAAGAAUUCAAUCCCAAAUUACACAUCCAUGAACAAGAUUUGAAGCUCCUCAUGAUAGGGAUUUGCAUCAGAUUGAUGUAAGGUAUAGCAAGGUAAUCAGAAUGCGAAUAAAUAGUAAGGACGGACCUACCUCCGAAGCUAAGACUUGCUCCGACGAGUGUUGAUCGGAGAAGAUGAAGACGAAAAAUCACUUGUUUAAUAGGUACGAGCUUGUAUUUCUGUUCUUCUGAUUUUGCUUUUAAGUUAACUGAUAACUCAGUUAGUUAGGGAAUUAGAAACUCAGUUAAUUAGUUAGUUGAGUGGAAUGAGUUCAAGUCCAAUUCUGCUUCUAAGUGGCCACUGCAGGUUACAAUUUGAAUGAUGACCCGUUGUUUAAUUGGCUUAGGUGCAAGGUGUAACAAAUAAGCUUAGGUGUGACUUGCAACUGUAGGUUAAGAAAUGUGUGGUUAUGUUUGGCUAAUGGUAAGUUUGUUCAUGCACCUGUUAAUGUCAGUAUGAAGGAGUCUCAAUGGAAUUCUCUACUGAAAAUGCAAGGACCUCUCAAUGUUGUUAUCUCUUGAUUCCCAAUGUUGUUGUUUUUGUACCACUAUGUUCAUGCAGGGAUGUCAUAUGAACUGUGAAUUUGUUGUAUUAUAGGUUAGUGUCAUGAGGUGAUGCAGGUCAGGUUUAGGCAACAUAACUUGGUUGGCUUUAACAUAUGCUGCAUGACAUAUUUCUGUUUGUUAUUAACAAUGUCUUGGCAUAUUUAUGGUUUGUCACAAGGGUGUUGAGUUGAAUCUUGCAGUAUGUAGAACUAGUGCAUUGCCAAUUGCAUCUUGUUGUACCAGUUUGCAGGGUAACAAGUAAUGGAUGAAAGGUCAUGGUGUUCUGAUUUUGCAAAGUGUUCAGCAAGUUCUGACGUGAUUACUAGCAAUAGGUUAAAGCCAAUUUAAAAAAAUCAUUGUAGUGACAUCAUGAUUCUCAUGUCCACUGCAGGUUACUAGGUUCUAAUAUUUAGCCUCUUGGCAUGUUCAUUACUGUUGCAUGUUCUUGGAUCUUAGAUAUGCUGUAAGUCUUGUACUUGGAUCAUGGCUUGGUGAGUUGUAGGAUUGUUGCAAGGUUGUAAGCUUGUUCCUAAAUUAUUGCCACUGAUACAUUAUAGGUGUGUUGCAGGUUAAUUGUUUGCUGACAGUAGGAUGAUGAUGCAAAAUAUUCUGGUGUUGGAAAUGCAAUGUGAAUGUUGCUUGGUUAGUUGAUGUUUGCAACUGGACUGUUGUAUGACACUGCAGGUGGAAUGCAACAUCAAUGAGAAGCCAUCUACUACAACAUCAAGUGAAAGGCCAGUGGAAUGCACCAUGUCAUGCAUGCCAUGAAAUGGAUGGUUGGACAAAGGUUUGUAACAUGACUUCAAGAUGGGAUUUUGUAUUAACAUGUGGAAAAGGGAACCUCCAAUAUCAAGGAUCAAUUUUGGAGAAUAGAAAUAUGAUUUAUGGCUUAGGAUGGGAAUUUAGGGUUUUUGGGAUGUAAAAUGAUUAAGUUUACUUUGGUCAAAGUUGACCAAAGUCAAAAUUUGAUCAAAUUUCAUUUUUUUGUAUUCUUUCUCAGGGAAUGGACAUUGUAAUGGAUAGUAGUGACCAUUUGAAUGAAAUUGAUACUUGUAUUUGAAUGAA